UUGAACGCUGGCGGCAUGCCUUACACAUGCAAGUCGAACGGUAACAGGUCUUCGGAUGCUGACGAGUGGCGAACGGGUGAGUAAUACAUCGGAACGUGCCCGAUCGUGGGGGAUAACGAGGCGAAAGCUUUGCUAAUACCGCAUACGAUCUACGGAUGAAAGCGGGGGAUCUUCGGACCUCGCGCUGACGGAGCGGCCGAUGGCAGAUUAGGUAGUUGGUGGGAUAAAAGCUUACCAAGCCGACGAUCUGUAGCUGGUCUGAGAGGAUGAUCAGCCACACUGGGACUGAGACACGGCCCAGACUCCUACGGGAGGCAGCAGUGGGGAAUUUUGGACAAUGGGCGAAAGCCUGAUCCAGCCAUGCCGCGCGCAGGAUGAAGGCCUUCGGGUUGUAAACUGCUUUUGUACGGAACGAAAAGCCUCUUUCUAAUAAAGAGGGGUCAUGACGGUACCGGAAGAAUAAGCACCGGCUAACUACGUG
rnacentral:rRNA from 1 species